rfam:Anaerosphaera sp. HMSC064C01 Anaerosphaera_spHMPREF2800-1.0_Cont38.1, whole genome shotgun sequence.
AAUUCAUCCAGAGAGGCGGAGGGACUGGCCCUAUGAAGCCCGGCAACCUGUUUAAACAAGGUGCUAAUUCCAGCGGUUAUACCGAGAGAUGACGA